GUUCUUUGCUCCGUGAGAAAGAUCCACCUACAACCUCAGGUCCUCAGACCGACCAGCCCAAGGAACAUCUCACCAAUUUUAAAUCAGACAGAGUCUUGCUCUGUUGCCAGAUUGGAGUGAAGUGGCGCGAUCUCAGCUCACUGCACCCUCUGACUCCCUGAUUCAAGUGAUGCUCCUGCCUCAGACUCCCAAGUAUUUCCUAUAUCUUCCUGUCUUUUCCAUGGCCAAAAAUGAUCAAGUAAAGAACAUUAAAGAAGAAAUAAAUUACUACAUAUUAAAAAAUACAUACUGUAAGAUGUUCUUUGUACAAAAAUGUGACAACUUCAAUAAGAGUAACUUGGACAACCUGAGGCAUUAAUUGAGGAUCAAUAUGAUGACUUUACAUUGAGAAUCACAUAUACCCUCUGAAUAAAUUUAAAAAAUGAAAUUUUUUAAUUUUCAUUAAAAAUUAAAUUUUUUUGAGUGAUGAAAAUACUCAAUCACAUUAUUUUCAAAUUGUUGAUAAGCAUGGAAAUUAUCAGAGAACCAGAAUAUUCAAGGUUUAUCUUUCCUGUUUUUGUCUUAAAUCACAACUAUGUGUUAAAUAAUUUGUAUGACCUAUUUCAGUGGCAGUAGGUUAAAUAAAAUUCUGUUUGUA
rnacentral:lncRNA from 1 species